CAUAGUGGCUCAUGCCUGCAGUCUCAGCUACUUGGGAGGUUGAGAAAGGAGGAUUGCUUGAUCCAAGAAGUUUGAGGCUAUAAUGAUCUAUAAUUACACCACUGCGCUCCAGCCUGGG